UUCUGUAGGUUUAGAGUUUUCGAUCAUCUCCAAACUCCGAAGGAUCCUUCCUCCUCCAACAUAGUGGAGUAGGAACUCAUAGAAUCCAUUGUCAAAAGUUGGAUUUACAGCACGUUGUAAAUCCAAGUUUGUUUGUCACAGUCAUCGGGGCGACGAAGGAAUUUGAAGUAGUAUAAGAAACUGAUCGUAUCACCCAAGAUCGGAAGUCCCAUCUUGCCCGGAGGCAGCUUGGUGUCGCCUUUGGAUGACCGGAGAGUUGCCAUAACAAAUCCGUACCAUACAUCGUUCCACCACCACAAUAACCACCCUACCAGUGGCAACAGUCCGAUCACCACAGUCGGCCAUAGUCCCAUAGCCAUCGCGUCUCUCUAGGUUACGUUCUUUCACGUUCUUAAUGAAGUUACAUGUGACUGCAUGUGUUUAUGUUUUUGGCGUGCUGGAAAGAUACCAUUAGAGGAGUAAGAUAUUCGAACAACACUAGUCGACAAGUAUGUAAAUUUUUUUAUUGUUUCAAGUCUUGGAUUUUGUGACAAGUUGGUAAAUUAAUUAUGUUACUAUUUCAA